rnacentral:rRNA from 1 species
CAAGGAAUUUUCCGCAAUGGGCGCACGCCUGACGGAGCAACGCCGCGUGCCGGACGACGGCCUUAGGGUUGUAAAGCUCUUUCAGUCGUGACGAUGAUGACGGUAGCGACAGAAGAAGCCCCGGCUAACUCCGUGCCAGCAGCCGCGGUAAUACGGAGGGGGCAAGCGUUGUUCGGAUUUACUGGGCGUAAAGGGCGCGUAGGCGGGGUAUCCAGUUAGGGGUGAAAGCCCGGGGCUCAACCUCGGAACUGCCUUUAAAACUGAUACUCUAGAGUCCGGAAGAGGGUCGCGGAAUUCCCAGUGUAGAGGUGAAAUUCGUAGAUAUUGGGAAGAACACCGGUGGCGAAGGCGGCGACCUGGUCCGGUACUGACGCUGAGGCGCGAAAGCGUGGGGAGCAAACAGGAUUAGAUACCCCUGUAGUCC